rnacentral:rRNA from 1 species
AUUGAACGCUGGCGGCAGGCCUAACACAUGCAAGUCGAACGGUAGCACAGAGAGCUUGCUCUCGGGUGACGAGUGGCGGACGGGUGAGUAAUGUCUGGGAAACUGCCCGAGGGAGGGGGAUAACUACUGGAAACGGUAGCUAAUACCGCAUAAUGUCGCAAGACCAAAGAGGGGGACCUUCGGGCCUCUUGCCAUCGGAUAUGCCCAGAUGGGAUUAGCUAGUUGGUGAGGUAAUGGCUCACCAAGGCGACGAUCCCUAGCUGGUCUGAGAGGAUGACCAGCCACACUGGAACUGAGACACGGUCCAGACUCCUACGGGAGGCAGCAGUGGGGAAUAUUGCACAAUGGGCGCAAGCCUGAUGCAGCCAUGCCGCGUGUAUGAAGAAGGCCUUCGGGUUGUAAAGUACUUUAAGCGGGGAGGAAGGCGAUACGGUUAAUAACCGUAUUGAUUGACGUUACCCGCAGAAGAAGCACCGGCUAACUCCGUG